UUUAUGAUAAUUUAUUUGUAUAUGUAAAUAUCUGUCGCUUCAGUAAGCUGUGACAACCCUCCAUUAAUCUUGAAAUAAGACAAAAGUAUCCAACACAUUUUCACCAAGUUAAUAGAUAAAUGAGUGUAUUUCCAAGGAAUGGAGGUACAGCAUUAGCUGUGGGGCCAUGGACCAUCAAAAGGGAAUUCAAAAAGCAGAACGACAUUCAAGCAGCUUUGCAAGCCCUCUAAUAUGUGAUUUCCGGUAUCUUCUGCUCUCUUUCUUCACUAGUUUCUACCAAGCUUGGCUGCGAAUUUUUCUCAGACCUUGGUUCUUAUCCUGAUCUCAUGCUUUUAGUUAAAACCCUUUUUGACAUUAGAUAACUAAAAAAAAAUGUACAACUAUUAGUUUUCUCUCAUUUUCCUGUAGCUGGCUCAGGUGAUCUUGAUUCUAAGAAUCUUCUUUAAUUUCUAUCAAUGAACAAUAAAACAUAUUUCUUUGCACCUAAUAUGAGCUAGGGAUUGCUUGGAUGAAAAAUAAAAACAAAAACAAAGCCUAUGGUUUUAUAAAGCAUAUGUUCCAGCAGUGAAAACAAAAAAAAUAUAGAAACAAACAAGAAAUAAAUAUUACAAUUUCUAGGACACACUGUGACUUCUAUGCAAUAUAGCCCUCUUCAGCAUGAGCUGUGACUGUGCUUGGAAAUAUAAUGCAAUUUAAAUACUGGCUAAUCUACACAAGUAUAUGCACGUCACAUUUUAUUUUAAACCAUUAUCCGCUUCCUGAUCAAUGGAAAGAACAAAAAGAUGGGUUAAGUGAAAAACAGAUAGUAAGAUAACAGAUUUAAGCCUGACCAUAUCAAUAAUCACACUAAAUGUAAAAAUGCGUAAAUUCCCCCAGCUAAAAGGCAGAGAUUACAUGCAUUAUCAACAAGAAACAUACUUUGAACAUUAAGAUACAAAUUAAAGAGGAAAGAUCAAGAUGGCGGAGGAGUAAAACAUCACGUUCACUUUCUCCCACAGACACAUCAAAAAACACAUCUACAUGUAAAAUGAUUCGCAAAGAAUAUCUACUGAGCGCUGGCAGAAGAACUUAAAAAUCUAAAAAGGACAAGAAACUCUUGACAUAACUCGGUAGAACAAAAGAAGAGAGAGAGAGAAAAGGAAUCAGGACAGGACUAGCAAUCCUGAGAAAGAGCGGUGAAGGAGAAAAGGAACCCACAUCCGGGAAGCCACCUAACCAACAGGGAGAUCAGCCAAGACAGAGGGGCCUCAAAGUCACCGAGAAAAGUGCAGCAGCUGGACUGAGGAAGGCAAAGUAGAGGGAGAGCCACACAGAUCAUCAGCACCACCUCCCCAGACACCACAGCCUGAGACACCUGGACAGGGGCUGGGCAGUGAGACUCAGGCUUGGAGGUCAGUUCCAGGGAGAGGCCAAGGGUUGGCUGUGUGGGACAGCCUAGGAAGCAGUGUGCCAUGGGCAGGGGAGCACUGUGCUACAGGCUGGGGAGUGGAAUGCCAUGGCAGAGGAAACCCGGGAGGAGGUCUGGGCCCAGAGAGGCAAGGUGCCAUUGCUGGGGAAGGUGAGAGGAGGAGGAGCGGACCACCAUAAGAACUGCUCUGUGCAUGCACUGGCUCUCAGAGGACAGAGAGCCUCUGGCACAGGUGGCGAGAAACCACUAGCUCAGGCUAUGGGAGACUGGGCACUUCUGUGUGGGCUGUGGGUACCUGGGCACCUCUUGUGUGGGCUAAGGGCAGUGGGGGGCUAAGUGCAACGUGGUGCCUCUUGCAUGAUCUACACGCUGCAUGAAUGGAUCGCAGCAGUUUACUCAGAGGCCAAAGGGCGGCGUGGCCUGCGACCACUGGGGGACUGUGAAUGGCUCCACCUGUGGCCCCAACCACCUCAGGGGUCAGCAAAAUAAGAAAAAAAAAAGAAAAAAGGGUAUUGCAACUGAUCACCACCUGUUGUUGCUCUCACUGCCCUGGAAACACACCUGCCAUGCUGCCCCCACUGCCAAAUGCUCUGGGCAGCACCCAAAUGCUUCACCGCUGUCCCUUCCCAAGACCUUGCAACUAGGAGCACCUGGUGCAGGACCUCCAGCUUGGGCUAAGAGAGAUGGGGUGCUUCUUGCAUGGUCUGCAGGUGGCAAGGGCAAACAAGUUCUAACUCCAGAGGUAGGCCUGGCCUGCCACCACUAGGGGUCCGUGAAGAAGCACCAAUUGCAAGCCCACCACAAGGGCACCAGAGAGGAGGGCACUGCAACUGAACAUGACCUGUUGUUGCUCUCUCACCCCUGGGAACACACCAGCCCUGCUGCUGCCACUGCCAAACGCUCUGGGCAGCACCCACAAGCUUGAUAACUAUUGCUUCCCAGGACUCUGCAACUAGGAGCAGCCUGUGCAGCACCUCCUGUGAGGGGUAAGUGGGAGGGGGUGCUUCUAGCAUGUCUACAGUUGGCAGGGGCAAACCACCAUACUUAUCACUGACUCCCAAGGUGAGCAUGGCCUGCCACCACUAGGGGUCCAUGAACAGGCACCACUUGCAGCCCCAAUCACCUCAGAGGAGGGCAUUGUAAUCAAACACUACCUGUUGUGGCUCUUGUUCCCCUGGGAAUGCAAACACCCUGCAACUGUCACUGCCAAAUGCUCUGGGCACUCGUAAAUCUGCCUAAGGCUCAUCAGCACUUCCCAGGGUCCUGUACCUAGGAGUAGCCUGUGCCACCUUCCUGCAGGUCCUUGCUGCUGUGAAGAGCACAGCAACCAGGCACUGACUACUAGCCCUACCCACUGCCUCCUUCUCCCUGGAAACACACUCAGCACCCUGGGGAUAACAGCCUGCUCACACCGAAGAAAGAGACAGCAAAUAUCCAAACUCCUACACCAAAAAUAAACAGUACCCCCCUACAAAAUACAAACAGGUGCUCUUGCAUAGAAGUAGCCCUCCAAGACUACAGUUUGGCUUCCUUAAACUCACAGAAAAAGAAAAACAUAAGCAAGAUGAAGAAGCUCAGGAACCAUUCCCAGUUAAAAGGAGAAUUCACUUGAAGCAGCAAACAAUGAAAUAGACCUCUGCAGUUUAAUAGACACUUAGUUCAAAAGGGAGAUAAUGAAAAUACUGAAGGAAUUAAGGCAGAGUAUCAAGGAAUUAAGAGUGGAUAUGAACAAAAAUGCAGAUUACUUUAGAAAGGAACUAGAAACAGGAAGAACAAGGAAAAAUUAGAAAAUUCAUUUGCAGAGAUGCAAACUGAGCUAAAGGCCCUCAAGAGCAGAAUGAAUAAUGCAGAGGAACAAAUGAGUGUCUUGGAAGAUAGAAUAAUGGAAAUCACCCAAUCAGAACAGCAGACAGAAAACCAAAUGAAAAAACAUGAAAGCAAUAUAAGAGAUCUAUUGGAUAGUAUAAAGUGGGCCAAACUACGCAUAAUAGGGAAUUCCAGAAGGAGAAGAAAAAUAAAAGGGGAUUGAAAAUAUAUUUGAAGAAAUUAUGGUUGAAAACGUCCCA
ensembl:lncRNA